UACAGAGGGGGCAAGCGUUGUUCGGAAUUACUGGGCGUAAAGGGCGCGUAGGCGGCCUUCUAAGUCGAACGUGAAAUCCCCGGGCUCAACCCGGGAACUGCGUCCGAUACUGGGAGGCUUGAAUCCGGGAGAGGGAUGUGGAAUUCCAGGUGUAGCGGUGAAAUGCGUAGAUAUCUGGAGGAACACCGGUGGCGAAGGCGGCAUCCUGGACCGGCAUUGACGCUGAGGCGCGAAAGCCAGGGGAGCAAACGGG
rnacentral:rRNA from 1 species